UGAGCCUUUAGAUUGGUUUCAGAAAGCAGA
rnacentral:piRNA from 1 species